rnacentral:rRNA from 1 species
CACGUAGGGGCGGAGCGUUUGUCCGGAUUUAUUGGGCGUAAAGAGCUCGUAGGCGGUUCGGCAAGUCGGGUGUGAAAUUUCGAGGCUCAACCUCGAAACGCCACUCGAUACUGCUGUGACUGGAGUCCGGUAGAGGAGUGCGGAAUUCCUGGUGUAGCGGUGAAAUGCGCAGAUAUCAGGAGGAACACCAACGGCGAAGGCAGCACUCUGGGCCGGUACUGACGCUGAGGAGCGAAAGCGUGGGGAGCAAACAGG